GAAGUAAAGAUGGGAUGGAAUCUGGUUGGAAGCAUAUGUUGCUCUAAAACCUGUAUAUACCUUUUAUAUCCAGAUGUGCAAGCUGGAAUUGAAAGCUUACUUUUUCCUUAAAAUGAAUAUAACCAAGGCCGUCAUCCUCCAUGGCCUUCUUAUUGUGCCACCUGGGGCCAACCUGUACAGCUGCUCUGCCCUUGUGGUCUGUACUGCCCCUGACCAUACGGGUCUCUACAUGGAUCCUGGAUCUCUGCAAGGUCUAUUCACUGAGUUACGUGAUGACAAUCCAGUGAAUAUAAACAGGACUGUAAUUCUAUUAUGUAAGGUAUUCAUUCAUUCAUAUUAUUGUGCUUUUGUGUCAGUGCUUAAUUUUAAGAUGAGGAAUUUACACUUUACCUGGCUGCUACCUCAAUAACUGCUAUGUCCAUAUUUGGUAUAAGCUAAUUUGUUGAACACCAAGUCAUGGCAUGUUCUGUUUACAAUUAUACCAUUUUUAAAUUAUAUUGUUACUCCUUGUUACUCCUUCAGCACUAAAACUGUGUACUGUUCAGGGCUUCACUGUGCCUAUUGUCCUGUUUUAGUAGUAUUGUAUUGUCAUGUGUUGUUAGCUCAUGUUUGCAUCUGCACUCUGUGUAGAAUGUGUAGAUCUUAUUUAGUUCUGUGUCGUCUCAUGAUCAUGUUGUUUUAAGUAGCACCAUGGUCCUAGAGGAAUGUUGUUUCAUUUCACAGUGUACUGUACCAGCUGUAUUUGAUUGAAAUUAGAUUAUGCACCAAUGUAUCGGCCGAUAAAGACUAUUUUUCCGGCUAUCGGCUGAUAGUUCAAAAACAUCCAAUGACCAGGGCCUAUUAUAUCCUGUCAAUAAAAAGAGGGUGGGAAAACACGUUGAUUUCGUGCUGUGUGUAUAAAAGUCUUUUGUUUGGAAUGAUGACAAAACUGCAGUUUGUAAGCUCUAUGAGUUCUGCACUGCUAAA